rnacentral:misc_RNA from 1 species
GCCUUUUUUUUUUUAAUCCCCCUCCACCCCUCUUCUCCUAGUUGUCAAGGCUCCAGGAUAUUAUUGCUUUCACUCUAGAAUAAUGGACUGCAAGUUUAAUCAAGGAUGCACUCAUAUCUAAAGCAGCUUUUAAUGAUUAGACAAUGAAGAAAAAGAUUAAACCUUUGAACCAUAAAUGGAGUCAGAGAAUGCACUCAUAUCUAAAGCAGCUUUUAAUGAUUAGACAAUGAAGAAAAAGAUUAAACCUUUGAACCAUAAAUGGAGUCAGAGA